UUAACUCAAUUUUGUAUGGAGUUGGAACAGCGCCCCUAGCGGCAAACGUAGGCAAACGUUCCAAUUCCAUACAAAUUAGAGUUA
rnacentral:pre_miRNA from 1 species